rnacentral:tRNA from 1 species
GGGGAUAUAGUAUAGUGGUAAUUAUACGCGGCUGUCUACCGCAUGACCCGAGUUCGAUUCUCGGUAUCCUCG